ACACGGGAAGCUGUAGUGGCAGUGGCCAGAGCUGGCUCGGAGCUGGUGCUUCUGCCGCCGGCUGCGCGCUGGCUCGCAGUAGUGGUACCUUCUCCGCUCCGCUUCAACUUCAACCCCCAAGUCGGCGUUAGCACAGCCAAGGGCUCAACCUUGAGCCCGGGAGGGCAGGCGCAGGGGCCAAUCCUUCACAGCCCCAUUCUCUCGAUAGGGUGCCGCCUUCCACAACGCCCCGCGUCUAUUCCCGACCUUGGAGGUCAGGCAAAGGCCACCAGUCUUCAGAGUUUGGAGCGGUGCUCGGAGAUGCUCGCUCCCCUGCAGGCCCCAGCCUCUUCUCUUGCAGACCCCAACGUCUGGUGCAGCUGCUGCUUUUCUCUUUCCUGUGAUCCCCGGCUUCUCGGGGCCCCCUGGGAGCUUGCUUCCCUCUUCUUCUGGACCCGUACUUCCCCUUCCGUUUUCCUGCUGUUUCCAGGACUUCCUUCUUCCUCAAGUUCCUUCUCAUCAUUCCUAUUAGAUACCUCUUCCCCCCUGCCCCCCACAACGUCGCUGGCCUGCCUGUGUUUCUUCUUGUGGCCUCCCAAGUCUCUGUUUCCCACCCUCUCUUCCCCCACCAGACCCCUCCCUUCGCAGCUCAACCCCAAUCUGUUUCUUUUCAGUUCAGCCUCACCCCAUCACGAGUUUCCUUUAUCUGUCCCCAGAUUCCCAGUGUCUUCCCCGCCCACCGCCCCGCCGGUUCCCGGAGCCUGGACGCUGCUACACUUGGCAGCUCAGGGCUGCUUCUCUCACACAGCACUCUGGACAGAAGUUGUCCGUAGUCCCUAUGGGGUGCUCAAACACCAGCCUUAAACGUCCCGCUGCAAAUCAUCCCACUUCCAGGGAUUUAAAAAUGAGGAAAGAAAGAAAAAGACUCAAAGAUAAGUGAAUUUUCCAAGGCCACUCAGCCAAGGGUAGACCCAGGGAGGAGUGACUUGGCCACUUUGUGUUCUGGUUUGAUCUGAGGUGGCUGUUUCUCUGUGGGUUCUCGGCCCAGUCCUGCCACCUUGCCUUCCCCUCCACCCUUCUUUGGGAUCCUGAAGGCCUGAAAGCAAGGGGGGGCAGUUCUGCUUUCCCCUCACUUUAUUCCGACUUCCUUAAGGUCAGAGACAUGCCUCUCACCCUGGACACCUGCCGCCACGCCUCAAUAUGGCAAAACGUCCACAGGGAACCUUUGCGCCAGGUAUGGCUCCAUGAUGUUUGCAGACAGUUUUCGCUUCAUCUUCAUAACAAGCCUGAGAUAGAGGCUGUGUUGUCUCUAUUUUACAGGCAGGGAAACUGAGGCCCAAGAUCACACUGCUCCAGAGUCUGUACGGGUCAUUGCUAGACUUUUGAGAAAGGCUGCUUUCCUCUUGCUAGCCAACCCAUUGUAUGUCGGCUAGGGUUAGUCAGCUCAUGCCUGUCUGUCUUGGGUGAGAAGGUGCUUACUUUAGCCCCAUCCUUCCUCUUGCUGAGAUUCAGAUGAUGUAUUAUCAUAUACCAGCUUAAGGGCAUGACAGGAGUGGAACAGAAAUUUUAAACAAUAUUAGGCAGAUAUUUAGCCACUCUCAAAACGACCUGGCUGCUCAUGCGCCUUCAUUUUUGGUGCACACAUCCUUGUCAGCGCACUGUUAUCCAGAGAGGGUAUCCUUGGCACUUAACAUAAAUACCAAACGCAUCUCCUUCCUUCCUCUUCCCCUCUCUGCAUCUUUCCUUCCGUCCAGCUGCACCCCUGGGUGCUUAUGCUGCCUGUUGGUCAGCAUUGCCCCUUGCUCCUGCACCCUGACCAUGAAGUGACAUCCAGGACAGUGGAUGGCAUCCUCCUGGGGUUUGUCUGCAUCCUUUCCCUCUGGGAAAUGACCACUUGUGCUUUAUGGGGUCACUAUUUUCUUUUCUAGUACUGCAGGGUCUGCGAAUGACGAGCCAUGAGAAGCUUCUUGUUUAGUAACCAUGUUUCUUGCCUGUGAAGGCAGCCUGCAUCUCCACUCAUUUUGCCCACAGCACCGCCACUGCGAGUAACCAGCAAACAGGACGCAAGCAACCUUGGUUGUUUUGCAUGUUUGUACAGGACUAUGUUUGCCAAAAACCUUGCCCAACUGUCAAGGCAAAGAUGAAGGGUUCCAGCAAAGUCCUUUUCUUUCUACCCAGCCUCUCACCUAGCUCAGCCAAUGGUGUGAUUCCAGGGAGAGAAGACCAUUGGCGGCCCUCACCAGAGCUUUCAAAUGUCCACAGGACAGGUUGCGCUGACCACAUGAUGGAUAACUGAAAAAAUAUUAGCGGCAUCAGCUUAAAUGAAAGGGGGAUUAAAGGCUGGAGCCGGCACCUCCAAGGACAGCGCUCACCCAGAGAAGCCUAUUAGACAAGCUGCUAUUUCCUUAAAGGUUGCCUGCAAAAUGUGCAGACCGACAGAAUGUUUACAGAAGCCUAGGACUCCACCAGCUAAGGUUUACCUUUAGCAAAUCGCCCUGAUGACGAUAAUCGCUACAGCCCCGUGGUUAUCUUUCUUCCGUGGCUGGAGAUGAAAGAGAAGCAACCACAGAGGCCAAUUAAUUCAAGCUGCCGUUCUCCCCCACAAAGAGCGGGGAGACAUCUUCAUGGAAACUGUGCCAUGUGAGGUUUUUUUUUCUUAAUUCCAGACUCUUUUAUAACUCAAAUAUGUAGACAGAAGAUUCACCUUGGUAUUUCCAGCUUGUGCUCAUCCGUUUGCUAUGUUUCAAAUGCAUUGGUCUAGAAGAGCUCAGUUCAGAUGCGAGCGCUCCAGGGCAGCUGACUUGCUUGAGACUCAGGUUGCUGGACAACUAUAAUGAAUUUAGUGAACGAAAUCUGCGGGAGUCCUUACAGAGCGCCAUGGAGAACUUGUGAGUCAUUGGCCAACUGUCUGGGUACUGGUGACUCCUCUUUAAUAUUUAAUCCUCGCAAGUCUGGACUUCGGCGGGAAACGAUCAUUUACCCCUUUCUGGCAUUUGGGGAUUUCUUGGAGGAGGAUCUCCCCGAGCCUCCUCUUACUCCAUCAUUGUGCUCCUCCCUGCGUUUCUUCCAGUGGUCUUCUCACUUGGUGACCUUGCCUGAGAUGUAACUGGCAUCCCCUUGGCCCCUGCUUUCCCCUAGCGUACAGGCUGACAUGUCGGACAAACUGCAUUGCAGGUGGAGGGAAGCGAGGCAGCCGGGUCUCACUGGUCAGCUCACACACAGUAUUAGAGGUCUUCGUUUUCAAACAGUCCUCUUUGAGGCACUUCCAUGAUCACACUGGCCAGCUCUACUCUCUAACCCAGUCUCUGUUUCCCGAUUCCAUUCCCACCCUUCCCUCCCGAGAAACUCUUUUUGUUUUAAUUGUGAGUUUUUAUUACAUGAAUCGCAUCAGUUCUCGGUUUCUUCCCCUACCGGUAUCACGGAGACACAAAACACAUGGCAAUGCCUUUUAGAAUGGUAGAGUCGACCGCCAUGGCCAGCCUACCCUUACUGAAUAUGGACUCUUGCAAAUGUGCUAAAAUUGAAAGCUUAUGGUUUCCCUUUGAAUCAGGCUAAAUUCCUGGAAAAGACACAUUAACCUUGAUAUAAAAUAUGCUAUCCAGCUGGGAAUAUAGCUCAAUAGAAGAGUGUGUGUCAUGUGCACAAGGCCAUGGGUUGGA